ensembl:lncRNA novel transcript
CCUUCUUUCAGAAUAAUGUGAAAUUUCUUUUAAGGACAAGAAACUUUAGUGUCUAGUUGGUAAAUGACAUAGGUUUGAAUCUCUUUCUAAGAGUUGUAAUUGAUGAUAAGAAUAUUCUGUGGUUCUUUACAGGGAUAAAUUGUUUAGUUUAAUCAGAGUGGUGGCUCUCACUAUCCAUAAGUCCAUGGGCAAAAGUGUUGACUAAUACGAUCAUACAGUGUACACCAGCCACCUUACACCAUGCAUUGUUGAGAGUUCUUGCUCUAUAUUUGAUAACACUUUUCAAAUAUGCCAUUUUCCGUGAUUAUAAAAUUGCUUAAAUAUCUAUAUAAUCUUUCAAAAUAAUUUUCCUACAAAUGUCUAAAUUUCUCUAGAAGUACAACAUAUACAAUCAGAUUUACUUGGAAUGGUCUUCCUUAGUCAGUCAUGUUUUCCUGCAAAUUAAAAUGGUUUGGACAACACA